AUGAACGCUGGCGGCGUGCUUAACACAUGCAAGUCGAACGAGAAGUGAAGACGGAACCCUUCGGGCGGAAGGCUUUAUUUCGAGUGGCGGACGGGUGAGUAACGCGUGGGUAACCUGCCUCAUACAGGGGGAUAACAGUUGGAAACGACUGUUAAUACCGCAUAAGACCACAGCACCGCAUGGUGCGGGGGUAAAAACUCCGGUGGUAUGAGAUGGACCCGCGUUCGAUUAGCCAGUUGGCGGGGUAACGGCCCACCAAAGCGACGAUCGAUAGCCGAUCUGAGAGGAUGACCGGCCACAUUGGGACUGAGACACGGCCCAAACUCCUACGGGAGGCAGCAGUGGGGAAUAUUGCACAAUGGGGGAGACCCUGAUGCAGCGACGCCGCGUGAGUGAAGAAGUAUUUCGGUAUGUAAAGCUCUAUCAGCAGGGAAGAAAAUGACGGUACCUGAGUAAGAAGCCCCGGCUAACUACGUG
rnacentral:rRNA from 1 species